rnacentral:rRNA from 1 species
AGUAAUGUCUGGGAAACUGCCUGAUGGAGGGGGAUAACUACUGGAAACGGUAGCUAAUACCGCAUAACGUCGCAAGACCAAAGUGGGGGACCUUCGGGCCUCAUGCCAUCAGAUAUGCCCAGAUGGGAUUAGCUAGUAGGUGGGGUAACGGCUCACCUAGGCGACGAUCCCUAGCUGGUCUGAGAGGAUGACCAGCCACACUGGAACUGAGACACGGUCCAG